GCUUCGGCAGCUCGGUGGUCAGCGCGUUGAGCUAGCAACUCCGGGGUCCCGGGUUCGAAUCUCGCCUCGGAAGUU